rnacentral:rRNA from 1 species
AGCGAACGCUGGCGGCAGGCCUAACACAUGCAAGUCGAACGGAAACUUCGGGGUUAGUGGCGGACGGGUGAGUACCAAGUGGGAACGAGCAUUUAGGUAAGGUAUCCCUCAUGGUAAGGGGAGGUCAUGAAGCUUGUGCUAAUCCGGGGUAAGAUCUAUCGCUUUUUGAGCGGCGCGCGUCUGAUUCGCCAGUUGGUGAGGUAACGGCUCAUCAAGGCGAUGUUCAGUGGCUGGUCUGAGAGCAUGACCAGCCACACUGGGACUGAGGCACGGCCCAGUCUGCGACGGGAGGCAGCAGUGUGGAAUCCUGCGCAAGGGGCGAAAGCCUGACGAAGCCAUGCCGCGGGAAUGAGGAAUGGCUUAGGAUUGCAAAAUUCUUUCACCGGGGGCGAGAAUGACGGUACCCGGAGAAGAAGCCCCGGCUAACUACGUG